rnacentral:lncRNA from 1 species
AAAGGUGCUAGUUUACUUUUCUGCUUCAGCAAUAGAUUCCACUGAAGAUAACUGACUCCUAAUUUGUUGUCAGAGGAUCCUGCAGUCCCUGAAGCUCAGUACUCUCAAUACCAUUGAUCUUUGUAGCUGCUGAGGAGGAUGUAGAAGAGAGGGUUCCGGUGAAUGCUGAUGCUAAAACAUACUCUCUACUUGGGAAAAGAGGUAUAUGACAAACCAGCCAAGAGGACCACCAGUCAAAUAAUAUUUUUAAAAAGCUUAUGUGAUGUGUAUGUUAUAUAUGUGUUAUUUCACUUAGGCAUGCUCAGACAAUGUCACACACUUCUUCAAUGA